AAGUCGUAACAAGGUUUCCGUAGGUGAACCUGCGGAAGGAUCAUUACCAUUUUAAUCCAAAUCUCAACCCAAUGUGCACGAUGGUUGUUUGUCCUUGGGGCGAUGUUUGUUGAGCUUAAAAGUCUUUUUGGACUUUUGUCACAAACGGUUGCCCCACCAUUGUUAAUAAAUUCCGUUAUUUUUACAUUUGGCAUCUUUUUAUAUAAAUUAUAAAUAUGACAACUUUUAACGGUGGAUCUCUUGGCUCGU
rnacentral:misc_RNA from 1 species